UCUGACCCUAGAGGCCUUGUAGGUUUGGCUGCUGUGUCACAUGGGCAUCAGUAGGUGACAGAGAGGAGAGAGGCUAUGUCUAAGGUUAGUGUUCUGACCUAUGAAUAUCUGAAUAAUUAUUAACCUAACAUU